UGAAUGAAAAGAUUGCAAUUCAUUA
rnacentral:piRNA from 1 species